UCAUCAACCUCAGCCAAAGGUGGCUGAACUUUGACCUUCAUUUUUUACAGGCUGCGAUGCUGAAACUUGGACCACUUGCAGCCCUCUUCAGGUGUAACACGUCAAUAAAUUUUCAUUGCACUAGAACAACUUUUAUGAACCCUAACUAACGCCCCCUUAAGGUAAUCAAAGAAAUCAACGUCCUGAUGGACCUUUAUAUAUAGGCUUCUAGAUAAACAUUGAUCCAGGACAACGACUGGAUCAAUUAUAAUUGAUCCAGUCAAUUAUAAUUGAUCCAUACAUUGGUCCAGGACGACUUCUUUUCCUAAAGUCAAAGUCCCCGUGGCGUGGUGGUUUCGCACUCUGCACCGCCCUUCGCGAGUAAUUUGGCCUUGGUUCGGCGCCAUUGGUUCGGCGCCAAUCCUUAACUGUAGCCUCUGUUCACCGAGCAGUGAAUGGGUACCUGGUUGUUAAACGAUUUGGUGGGUCGUAUUCCCGGGAAAAUAUGGAUUCAAGACCUGCCCGAAACGGUAUGCGAGGUAGUGGCUGUACAAGAAUGUAAGAACUCUUGUAUAAAAAAAUACAAUACCUUGAGAGGUUAUGGACGGAGGGGCAGGAAGUUCAAGAACAUCGAUACAGCAGACUACCGUAUAUACAUAAGUAUAUAUACGCAUAUACAUAUAAAGGAAGAAUCCUUUCAGCAUACACUGUACUCGCUAGAGACAUCAGUCUACACAUUAGAGCAGCCAUACAGCUUGCACAUACCAUAUGGGGUGCCCAGUUUGCUGCUUUGGAGGCAUUCUUAAUUGGUAUCUACAGGUGUUGACGUGGGGUGAUGGAGGUGGUGCAGGCUGUUGGUCUCUGGCUACUGACUGGGAUAUUCCCAGACCUCCCCCAUGUACCCGCCUGUCACACUUGCAUGUCUGGCAAGUCGGUGAUGCUCAUCAGCCCUGUCUGUCCCUCUGACAUUCUUUCCCAUGGGAUAUGGAUACAGACCAUUUCUUCAAUAAAGUAAGAUGUAACACGAAUGAGGAUCAACACUUUGAAGCUCAAAACAAGAGAUACUAUUUCACCUAUAGGGUCAUAAACCCAUGGAAUUGUCUACUUGCUGAAGACAUUAAUGCCAAAACACUGCUGCCAUUUAAGAUCCAAAUAGAUAAAAUCAUCAGGACAAAUGGGGGGACUUUUGACAAACCACCGGGUUUGUGUCCUCGUCGAGGACACUAGAGAAUAGCGUCCUUUGGUAUAUUCAGGUAAAGUACCAUUAAGUGCUGGAAUAAUAAUA